rnacentral:rRNA from 1 species
UGGGGAAUAUUGCACAAUGGGGGAAACCCUGAUGCAGCGACGCCGCGUGAACGAAGAAGGUAUUCGUAUCGUAAAGUUCUGUCCUAUGGGAAGAUAAUAACAGUACCAUAGAAGAAAGCUCCGGCUAAAUACGUGCCAGCAGCCGCGGUAAUACGUAUGGAGCGAGCGUUGUCCGGAAUUAUUGGGCGUAAAGGGUACGCAGGCGGUUUAAUAAGUCGAAUGUUAAAGAUCGGGGCUCAACCCCGCAAAGCAUUGGAAACUGAUAAACUUGAGUAGUGGAGAGGAAAGUGGAAUUCCUAGUGUAGUGGUGAAAUACGUAGAUAUUAGGAGGAAUACCAGUAGCGAAGGCGACUUUCUGGACACAAACUGACGCUGAGGUACGAAAGCGUGGGGAGCAAACAGG